rnacentral:ncRNA from 12 species
GCUUUCAACAUCCCCGUUCUGGCCAGUCCAGAACUGAAAGC